rnacentral:misc_RNA from 1 species
ACGAAAUUGUGAUUCAGCCCAUAAAGAAACCACAGCCUGCUGCUCUAGGCCACAGGUGUAGAUUAGAGAAAAUAUGAAGGCAUUUAGCUUUCAACUUCAGUGAUCAAUUUGGAUAGAGCAGAUUACUUCACUUCCUACUAUAAAAGAAAUCAAAGCAGGGGAGUGGAGGACCAACGCUUAAAGUGAGUGAAAAUGGCGAUCCCUGUGCCCAAUCGACAGCUAUUCAUUGACGGUGAAUGGAGAGAGCCCGUUCUCAAGAAACGCAUCCCCAUCAUCAA